GAGCCGGCCGGGCGGCCGCGGGGUCGUCAUGGCCACGAGGAACGUCCGGGCUCCAUAGGGAAACGGUGGUGGGUAACGCCCACCCGGGGCGACCCGAGGGAAAGCGCAACAGAGAGCAGACCGCCUUCUUCGGAAGGCAAGGGUGAAACGGCGGUGUAAGAGACCACCGCGUUCCUGGCGACAGGAACGGCACGGCAAGCCCCACCGGGAGCAAGGUCAAGCAGUAUGCGCUGAGGCGUCCCGCCGAGCAUACGGGUAGACCGCUCGAGCCUGUCGGCAACGGCAGGCCUAGAUGGAUGGCCGCCGCCCGAAAGGGAACAGAACCCGGCGUACAGGCCGGCUCGU
rnacentral:RNase_P_RNA from 1 species